CUCAUCCACGACUUGGCUGGUAUUGUGACGUAGGUUUCGUGCCUCCAGGACUCAUUGCUCACUGUGUGAUCAACCAUGCUGUGUUCGCAUCAUCGUUGGCAUCUCCAAGUGGGACCAGUGGGACAACCGCGUCAACUCCAUUAUCAUGGCCAGAACUCUUGGCAUUGACUGUGAUGUCGCGGACAUCAUCCGAGAAUAUCGACUGCGUUGGCUUAAACAUGUUGGCCGGAUUAACGACGACCGUAUGGCGAAGCGAGUUUUGUUCGGGGAGCUUCCUGCAACGCUUCCUCGCCAUGGUCCACGCAAGCGGUGGCGUAACGUCGUCGUAGAUGACCUCCACUCCAUCAGCCCCCCUGUGCAUUCUUUAUGCUGGUUUGCUGCUGCCCAGGAUCGCUCUGCCUGGAGGCAGAUUGCUCAUCGUCGUCCUCCCGCCCGUGCUCCCCCUGAUCCUGACUCUGGCUUCCGCUGCGCAUGUGGAAAGGUCUGCCGUUGUCCCGGGGAUCUCAAGCGCCACGCUCCGUACUGCAAAGCUAGCAGACAGCCCAUUCGCUAUCAUUGCCAUGGGCAAUGGGCACAUUCAAGGUUCAAGGUGUGUGUGUGUGUGUGUGUGUGUGUGUGUGUGUGUGUGUGUGUGUGUGUGUGUGUGUGUGUGUGUGUGUGUAUCAGCCUUGCAAGAUGUUGAAUGGUGUAAUCCCAACACAAGUUGCUAUGUUGAACAUAUCUCUUCGCUAUCAUCGCUUCCGCGUUGGGCAGGUCAGACGUGUGUGUAUGUACAUGGCACUCAAUCUGCGGACGGAA